AUAAGACGGGGGGGUCUAUUUUGUUGGUUUCUAGGACCGCCGUAAUGAUUAAUAGGGACAGUCGGGGGCAUCAGUAUUCAAUUGUCAGAGGUGAAAUUCUUGGAUCUAUUGAAGACUAACUACUGCGAAAGCAUUUGCCAAGGAUGUUUUCAUUGAUAAGGAACGAAAGUUAGGGGAUCGAAGACGAUCAGAUACCGUCGUAGUCUUAACUAUAAACUAUGCCGACUAGGGAUCGGACGAUGUUAUUCUUUGACGCGUUCGGCACCUUUCGAGAAAUCAAAGUGCUUGGGCUCCAGGGGGAGUAUGGUCGCAAGGCUGAAACUUAAAGAAAUUGACGGAAGGGCACCACCAGGGGUGGAACCUGCGGCUUAAUUUGACUCAACACGGGGAAACUCACCAGGUCCAGACACAGUGAGGAUUGACAGAUUGAGAGCUCUUUCUUGAUUCUGUGGGUGGUG
rnacentral:rRNA from 1 species